rnacentral:rRNA from 1 species
CAGUAGCCGCGGUAAUACGUAGGGUGCAAGCGUUAAUCGGAAUUACUGGGCGUAAAGCGUGCGCAGGCGGUUUGUUAAGACAGAUGUGAAAUCCCCGGGCUCAACCUGGGAACUGCAUUUGUGACUGGCAAGCUAGAGUGUGGCAGAGGGGGGUGGAAUUCCGCGUGUAGCAGUGAAAUGCGUAGAUAUGCGGAGGAACACCGAUGGCGAAGGCAGCCCCCUGGGCCAACACUGACGCUCAUGCACGAAAGCGUGGGGAGCAAACAGGAUUAGAUACCCCUGUAGUCCCUGUCUCUUAUAA